GCAAUGGUGCGAUCUCGGCUUACCGCAACCUCCGCCUCCUGGGUUCAGACAAUUCUCCUGCCUCAGCCUCCCGAGUAGCUGGGAUUACCGUCACGCGCCACCAUGCCCAGCUAAUUUUUUGUAUUUUGAGUAGAGACGGGGUUUCACCACGUUGACCAGGAUGGUCUCGAUCUCUUCACCUCGUGAUCCACCCGCCUCGGCCUCCCAAAGUGCUGAGGAACACCACGGAUCCUGCAGCUGUUCGGCUGUCCUGGUCAAGUCAGUUACCCUAGGGCUCUGCACCGUGCCCUGCACACAACCCCCAGGAAAGAGGCUCUGAUGUGUUCCCUGUUGCAAGGCUGGCUGCAUAAUCUGUGGGGCCCAGGCAAGCUCAAAGUGCAGAGCUCCUUGUUCAGAAAACAGGGAAGGUGCCGUGAAGAACCAUGCUGGUAAAAACAAAUGCUGCACAAAGGGAACUUGUUUCAUAUGCACAAGUUCUUCCACUCUCGGCCCGGGGCUCACUGGUGAGUAAGGAAGGACUGAAGGCAGAACUGUGGACCGGCCUUUCGCCGUAAUCAGGUGUCUCAUGUAAAGAAGGGCAUGAAUAAGAAAAUGUAUGAUAUGUGUGACGGCUGAUACCGAGUGGCGGCUUGAUUGGAUUGAAAGAUGCAAAGUAUUGAUCCUGGGUGUCUGUCAGGGUGUUGCCAAAGAAGAUUAGCAUUUGAGCAGUGGGCGGGGAGGCAGAUUUACCCUUAAUCUGGGUGGGCACCGUCUAAUCAGCUGCCAGUGCUAGAAUAUAAAGCAGGCAGGAAAAAUGUGAAAAGAGAGACUGGCCUAGCCUCCCAGCCUACAUCUUUCUCCCCUCCCUGGCUGAAUGCUUCCUGCCCUUGAACAUCGGACUCCAAGGUCUUCAGUUUUGGUACUGGGACUGGCUCUCCUUUCUCCUCAGCUUGAAGACUGGCUAUUGUGGGACUUGUGAUCAUGUAAGUUUAUACUUAAUAAACUCCUCUAGAGAACCCUGA